GCCAAUGUCUUGUAGUCAAGGAUAAUGUUUCGGCCAUUAUUUAUGUAGUUAUGCUCUACCUUUGGUU
rnacentral:tRNA from 1 species